GUUAGGGUUAGGGGUCAGGGCUAGGGCCAGAGAGGCCAGGGUUAGGGCCAGGGUUAGGGUUAGAUUUGAUCCCCGAGGGUUAGGGUUAGGGUUAGGGAUAGGGUUAGGGUUAGAUUUGAUCCCCGAGGGUUAGGGUUAGGGUUAGGGAUAGGGUUAGGGUUAGAUUUAAUCCCCGAGGGUUAGGGUUAGGGUUAGGGAUAGGGUUAGGGUUAGAUUUAAUCCCCGAGGGUUAGGGUUAGGGUUAAGAUUCUGGUUAGGCGUUAGUUUAGGGCUAGGGGUCAGUGGUUAGGGGUCAGGGGCUAGUGAUUAGGGGUUGGUGGUUAGUGAUUAGGGGUCAGGGUUAGGCAUUGGAGCCCCUAAUCACACGUAGAUGUAUUUAGCUGUUGUUCCCGUCCAGUGCAUGUGGUCCACCCCCGACAGAAACCCGUCUCCUUUCAGAGAGUCGACGUGUGGCCAAGCUCCAGUAUGCCACAUUCUUGUCUGUGUUAAUGUGUCUUUUUGUUUUGUAUGUUACAGGUUUUGGGGGAGAGGGAGACUUUCCCUCCAAAGAGUCCAGAAACUCCCUGUCCAGCUUAGACAUGAAGUUCUGUUGUGGAGACAGAACAGGAGUUGUCUCCAGCUCCGUGUCUUGGUUUUUCCCUAUGUGUGAGUACUGUUUUGUAUUGUUUGUAGGUGUUUGUUUCUCCUCUUGUUUGUUAUGUUGUGGUUCUGUGUGUGGUGUGUGGAGUGGAGUCUGAGGUGUUUUGGUUUGUUGUGGUGUUUUUUGUUGUUGUUGUUGUGGUGGUGUUUUGUUUUGUUGUUGUUGUUGUGCUUGUGCUGACUGUGUGUUUUGUUGUGGUGUCUGCUUUAUGUUUACAGGUUUGUCCACAAUUUGUGGAUCAUCAUUUUGUCUUUUUUCCUGUGCAGCAACAGGCUCAGAAGGGGCUGCCUGUCUGUCCUGUGCUGCAUCAGGCUUCACACAAGAGGCUAUCAGAGC